rnacentral:lncRNA from 1 species
CCUGGUACUCACCGUCUCAGUCCUAGAACCGACCCACCAUGAUACUGAUUGUAUUUUCUGAAGUAUGCUAUAGGCUCUUGCCCGCAGUAAGAAAUUGAUUAUAUGUAGUUCAUAUGGUUGUGAUUUUGAUCAAAUCUGAUGAUUUUGUGUUUGAUUAGCAUAAACCUAAUAUGCAUAAUUUCCUACAAGAAGGGGGUAUUGGAAUAUUAGCUAAUACCUAACUAUUUCUUAUUCAGGGUGAAAGAACACGGUGGUGAGACUAUUAUUCCUUUCAGCUGUGCCUUUGAACAGAAACUAGUGGAUAUGCCAGAAGAUGAAGCUGCUAAAUAUUGCGCCGAAAACCAGACAGCAAGGCAAGUCAUGUAGCAUAUUUUGGCUGAGUUGAUUACCACAAUUAAGAUACUACUUUUGUACCGAAAUAUAAGACGUUUUUGUAGUCUAAACUAGCAAUCAAGUUUAUUUAUUUAUAACGUGCAUUGCAUCUUCUCUUUGCAUAUUGCUCAACUUUUUCUGUUUAAUUUAUUUAUACUAAAUCUUUCACCAAUGUGAACAGUUUGAUCCCCAAAAUCAUCAAGACUGGUUUUGCAGCAAUUCAUCUCAUAUACUUCUUCACAGCUGGUCACGACGAGGUACAUUUAUAUGUUUACAUUGUGCUUACUUUGUGCCAGUAAUAUGUGUUGUAUAAGCAACAUUUUACUUCAUUUUGCUAAAAUGGUGGUACUACAUCAGCCUGUUACAUUUUUGGCGUGCAAAAUUCACAUGCUUGUUUCUUUAUACAUCAUCAGUCUUUAUUCAUUAUUGCCUCUGCUCCAAAAUAAGGGGCGCAAUCAAACUUCUAACUUCCCCAAUCAAUAUGUAAAGAAUUGGACGCCGAUAACUGCCACACGUGUGGGCGUUAAGGAAUCUGCCCACACGUUCUGUGUGGUGCCUAAGAGGACCAGCCCACACGUCUGUGUGUGGGCAAAACAAUUAGCGCACACACGCCUCUUUUUUCCCUCCCGGUCCCUCUUACACGCGUGCGUGUGGGCGAAAUAGAUAACGCCCACACGCCCGGUACGUCAGGCCUCGUACCUCGUGGUCCUGCACGCCCCACGUGACACUUUACCGCGCGCCCCGCAGUUGCCAUGGGCCGGACCCUCGUCCAUGUUCGUUUAAGUGCAGUUGCCAUGUCGCUGAACUACGGUUGCCAUGUCGGACAACUACAGUUGCCAUGUUUGCUCAACUGCAGUUGCCAUCUCAGGUCAAAGUUCCAGAUUGCCAUUUUUUGGACAACUACAGCUGUUGCCAUGUGUGGUCUGGUCUACUGCAGUUGCCAUGAUUUCAAAACUUUAGGAGUUGCCACCUACUAACACUAGGCAGUUGCCAUGUAGCGCUACAAAAAAAGGCAUGGCAAAAAACAUGUUUGGGUAAAAGAGAGAGUUGCCAUGUGCUCACAAGCACGCUAGGGCAGUUGCCAUUUAAAAAGAAAGAGUUGCCAUCUGCUUACGUGCACGCUAGGGCAGUUUGCCAUGUACCAUGCAAAACAUAUGGCAACUGACAUGUUCGGGUAAAAAAAAGAGAGAGAUGCCAUCUGCUUGCAAUCAUACUAGGGCAGUUGCCAUGUACACUGCAAAACGCAUGGCAACUGGCAGCUUGGGUGUGGGAGAGGAGGCAGGUGUGUGGGCGAGAUGGCAAACGCUCACACACCAGCCCUUGUGCGUGACUGAAAAACUGGUGUGUGGGUGAACUGCUAAACGCCCACACACUGGCCCCUCCGUGUGGUAAAACGGAUGUGUGGGCGACCUCUCUCACACACCACACACGCGAGUUGUCCUACGUGGCAUACAAAAUGAGCUAAUUCGUGCCAAGAUUCGUGCAGAAGUUACUGGACGGUGAUGGAGGCGUGUGGACGAGUUGGCUAACGCCCACACGUGUGGGCGUUAACAUUUUCGAAAGAAUUUAAUGAGAUUUGACAAAUGGAAAUAAUAUCAUUCUUUUCAUAAUUCUGUUUUUUACUGACACAUCAAUAAUAAUGGUCAAAGUUGCAUCUUGUUGGCUGGUUAUGUUCUAAACGGGGAGGAAUGUAUUAGGUUGUUCAGAUGUCUGUUCGUGUUUGAAGUUUCAAGUAGGAGUUUCUGAAUACAUUUGACAAUUUUCUGCUAGCUUAUAAGCUUGAAUUCUCCUUUCAGGUGAAGUGCUGGCAGAUCAGACGUCAAUCUAAAGCUCCUCAAGCUGCUGGUGCAAUUCACACUGAUUUUGAAAGAGGCUUCAUUUGUGCUGAGGUAGAGUCCUUUCUGAAAUAGCUAGACACAAUUCCUUUAUUUGGAAUAAAUCGAACUGUGGCAUUCGUAGUUGACAGUGUAGUUAAUUGUUGCUGUGCUUACUAUUUGCACUUUGUAGUUAAUUAUUGCUUGUUUUUUUAAAAAUCUUGAUGUUUACUGAAGCUUCUUUCAUUAUGUUAACUUGAAGUAUUCCUUGAUAAUUCUUAUAUAUAAAUCUACUCUUUUUGAUCAGGUAAUGAAGUUUGAAGAUCUAAAAGAGCUGGGCAGUGAAUCUGCUGUCAAGGUGUGCACAAGCUCGUCUAUGCUAGAUGAUUUGUAUCAUCAGUUGCCUUACUUUUGAUCUUUAAACUCAAUGUUAUGAGUUACGCAACCGUUUGCCAUUGAUGGAUUGUAGGCUGCUGGGAAGUACAGGCAGGAAGGGAAGACGUACGUGGUGCAGGAUGGAGACAUCAUCUUCUUCAAGUUCAAUGUUUCUGGAGGCGGAAAGAAGUGAUGAAUUCAUCACAGGGUCGUGUAUUUUAGCAUUUUUGGGUUCACUUGCAAGUAGCCAGGUACUAUCAGUACUGAUUGCAGACUGUGCGGGGAGGCUAUAAGCACCAACUGGAAGGGAUGAAAAAUAUAAUUUUUCAUUCGUGAGCUAGAACUGCUCAGCUCUAUCGGAAAACUGGAAGUUGUAACGUGUGACUGGACAACUUUGUCGUAAUUAGGAUGCAAAGUUAUUUGUUAUGCAAUUCUACCGUUGUUGCAUGUGUAGCUCCAUAAUUCUUACUAAUAUUUUACAUAGAAAAUUACUUUGAUUACUUUUUUGGAUAUAUUGCCUCUUAAAUUGAUUGAGUACCUCUCCGUCCAUGAGAGAAAAAAAAGAGACAAAAUCACAUGCCUGCACUGAUUAAAUGUGGCGCUCAAGUGAAACUUAUCUUAGGGUUCAUAAUAUCUUAGUAUUGAGCUCUAAAUUUUAGUUGGUGCAUAUUGUUUUUUAUAGCAAAUCUUCAUGAAUGUUCAUCAAGUUUAUUAAAAGAAGUAAACAUGUCUGCAAUAUCAAAAACUACCUUCGAUCCAAAUAAUUGAAGUUUUGGGUUUGUCUCAAGUCAAACUUGUUUUAGUUUGACCAAGUCUAUCGAAACAUAGAUUAACCUGUACAACACAAGUUAGUCUCAUGGAAUCAUAUUUCAAUAUUAUCAGUAUUUGGUGUUGUAAAUCUUAGCAUAUUUUUCUAUAGAGUUGGUCAAACUAGAGCAAGUUGGACUUAUGACAAAUCUAUGACUUCGAUUGUUUUGGAAUGGAGAGACCAUAUGAAAAUAUAAUGUUGAAUCUUAUGGUAUUGAUCAGGUAUCCGAGAUGUUGAUAACUUUUUCUAUGAACUUGCUCAAACUUUGCAAGUUUUGGCAUUGAAAAAAACACUAUUUUGGGACAGAGAGUCUUGCCAGAAAAAAAUCCCAACAAUGACUUUUGAAAUGUAAGAAAACAGCUAACCAUCUUUCCUUGCAAUCCCCACCUCCUCCCCUCAUCCCUAUCGAAGGAGGCCUUCGGGUUAAGUCCGGUUGGCAGCUGCGACAACUUUGUCGACGACCUCCAUGGCUCCGCCCCGACUACUCUUUCCCUGCGAGAUGGGGUGGGGGUGGCACCCCUUUUUCCCUCUCUCUAGAGGUCAUUCCCGCGUAGGUCGUCCGCGUGGUUGCAGAUGCGGUGCAACAACGGUGGGACGCUAGAUCUGGUCUGUCUCGUGCAAAUCCGGUUUGCUGGAGUCUGCUGGGUCGGUUUUUGGCUGGCGAUGAGGUUUGUGGUGGCUCUUGUAUGGUCAUGACGCGAGUGUGUGGGCUAGUGGAGGUGUGAUGCAUGGGUAUCUCGUGUUAGGCGGUGCUCCUGGUGAACUUGCCAAGCUCUUGUCGACCGGCGACGUCGAUGUCCUUGGGCGUCAUUUCACCUCCUUGGAGGCGCCGAUGUGGAGUUCAUCUCCGGCAGGGGCGAACCCAGGAUUGGGCUAAGCCCCGGACCCUAGGCCAGCUACAAUGCAUCUACAGUGACGCUACAGUGCCAUUCAUGCUAUAUUGAAGGAAGUGUGCAUUCCUCACGCCCAGGGCCCAGGCCCCCCGGCCUGGGUCCUAGAUCCGCCACUGAUCUCUGGCACACCCUCAGAUUCAGUUCUUCGGGUAAAAUCCUAAGGCUCAGUUGGGUCGGGUCGCUUCCCUUUCCGGAGCAUCGUCUUGAAGAGACCUCUCGAUUCCCUUCACGCCCUUCAUGUGCUAGACGCUCACGACAAUGCGGUCGGUAGGUGUUCCUCCGACAAUGUGGCUGGUUGUGCGCGGCUUUCGCGUGGCAACAAUGGUGACUUCGGGUGAGUUGUGAUUGAGUUUUGGUAGUCGGUUUUAUUCGGCGUGUUUAAGGGGUCACCGUGCCUCACUCGUUCUUUCUAAAGUCGGAUCUGCUGAGGCGGGCCUUCGUGGUGAUGAUGACACGAGAUGGGUAGUCCCUUCCGACGCUUGUUCGGCACAGGCCCGACUCUUUCUUGCUCGUUGACAAAGUAGAAGCUGCUUGGGCAUCGAUGUGUGUUGCUGACUGGUUGUCAUAGGCGGGUUCCUCCCCAGCACACCCCCUCGCCGCAGCGGAGCCUCGCCCGAUGCCGCCCAAGGCGUCGAAGAAGGACGACGAGCCGACGGAGCGCCCCAUCCUCGGCCGCUUCUCCUGCCACCUCAAGAUCAGAAUCGUACGCUCCCCUCUUCCCCCUCCCGCAGAUUCCCCACGUUCUCCCGCGAUUCUAGCGAGUGCUCGCAAGGGUUUCAUGGUUGCUUACUUGGUGGGUGCGGUGGCAGUGGCGGUUGAUCAGAUCGACAGGAGAGCAUGUGAUGUCCCUGUUGCGGUCGUCUUAGUGUAAUAGGGCUUUGCAGUUCUCUUGGUCCGCGCUGGCAAAGUUCGGAAUCGUUGGUGGCUUGCUCGUGGCAUCUGAAAGUGGUUUUGUCCGACUUUGUGAUCUCCAUCCCAGAGUCCAUACUAUCGGUUUCGCAUGUCUAUACCCAUGAAUUGUGAAACAUAGUCAUCGACCGAAUCGUAUACACUAGUUGAACGGUAUGUGUCCGCAUAACCUUAUCAACUAGGGAUCAUUAGAACAUCCGUCAUACAAUACAUAGUUUCACAAACAAGUCACAUACUUAUUGAUACAUAUCAUUGAUGAUGUUCAAGGAUAUUCCAAAUAACUAAUAAAUACAUACGGAAAUAUUAUCAUCACAUGAUUGCCUCUAAGACAUAUCUCCAACAACAUAAUCAUACUCUUAAAAAUUACAGUUUAAUCGAUACUAAUUGUAAUUUUCUCACCACACCGUGUUAUCUUUUAUUGAAGAGAUGCCGCUUGUGAAAUUAUGGAUCCCAGUUUAUCCACCCCUAUUGCUUUCAAGUUUAACCAGACUUUUUUUUUACAAUUCCUUGAUUUUAUUUCUCUUACUUUAAUCACUUCUUUCGAACACGAGUUGCUUUAAUCCUGAUAACGGCAUGGAUAGUAAGACUAACAAUUUUACUAGUUUCGUUGGGUGCCGAGACAAGUUCUGUAAUUGUGGGAGCUUCUACCGGUUUAUCAAACCUUAAGGCCAUCCACUUAGGAAAAUUGNNNNNNNNNNNNNNNNNNNNNNNNNNNNNNNNNNNNNNNNNNNNNNNNNNNNNNNNNNNNNNNNNNNNNNNNNNNNNNNNNNNNNNNNNNNNNNNNNNNNNNNNNNNNNNNNNNNNNNNNNNNNNNNNNNNNNNNNNNNNNNNNNNNNNNNNNNNNNNNNNNNNNNNNNNNNNNNNNNNNNNNNNNNNNNNNNCGCUUCCUAGAUUAGAGGAGGCAAGUUUUUUCUGGCGUUGUUGUGAGGGAGUCUUUGAUUAUUACCAUAUGUCCUACACUCCUUUACUUUACUUUCUUGUUAUAUAUCUUGCUUAGUUACUUUAUGUUAGUAGUUUUUUUUUGUUUUUUCACUUUCGAAAAAAUUCAAAAAACACACAAAAAUAUUUAAAUUCUAGCAAGAAGUUAGUUUGUUUUAGGCUUGAAAUCAUGUCUACUUCUGCUCAAAACACCAAACUUUGUGGAUUUACGAGUAGUAAGAAUGGUGAUUUCAUUAACAAACGUAUUGGUCCACUAGCUACUAGUGCUGAGUCUUACAAAAUUAAGACUGCUUUGUUGAACUUGGUAACGACUAAUGAAAGAACAAUUAUAUGGUUCUUAUAAUGAAGACGUUGCUUCUCACUUAAACAAUUAUGUUGAGCUCCAUGAUAUAAAAAAAAUAUAAAGAAGUAAAAUCCAAUAUUGUCAAGUUAAAACUUUUUUCAGCCAAAAAUGGAUGUUAAGUGGAGAUGGGGAAACUUCUGCACGACAAUUGGCUUUGGCACGAGUACAUUUUGAUUAUGCGGCAGCAGGUAUAACACUCCAAAUAUGUAGCGGUUGGGGGCAAAAAUUGAGGCUACCCAAAAGAAUUUUGUAUCACGUGGAGCCCUGUUUUUGACCCAAAGUGUCCUAAAACGAUGGUUUUUACAUCACAGAGAUGCUUCUUUUUAUCAUUGUUGGAUGACCCUCCUGUCUUCCCGCAUCCCCCAUCGUGCCGCCGCGUGCCGGGUGAGGACCUUGUCUUGCCAGCCCUAAAAGGGUAGUAUCGUGCCCGACCUUAAUGCUCGGCUUUUGGGCUCGACCUUGUUCCAUAGCGGGCCAAAGACCAGCCCGACCCUUUUAAUCGUGUGCCGUGCUGGGCACAUGUCGGGCUGAAAUUCCGAGUCCAUGGGCCGGCCCGCGAGGCACAACCCAUAUGGCCAGGUUUGAGCCCAUCCCCAGACUCCUCUCAGCUCGCCGCAACUACCACUUCCCACCAAAAACCCUAGCCGGCCAGCCCACAUCUCUCUCUCUAUCUCCCACACACGCUAGCCCAUCCCCAGACUCCUCUCCAGACCCCAGCACACCACCUCGCCGCAGCGGAGCCGAGCUCGAUGCCGCCCAAGGCGUCGAAGAAGGACGGCGAGCCGGCGGAGCGCCCCAUCCUCGGCCGCUUCUCCUCCCACCUCAAGAUCGGAAUCGUACGCUCCCCUCUUCUCCCCCCUCCCGCGGAUUCCCCACGUUCUCCCGCGUUCUAGCGAGUGCUCGCAGGGGUUUCAUCGUUGCUUACUUGGUGGGUGCGGUGGCGGUGGCGGUGGCGGUUGAUCUCUUUGCUGUCUCUGUGGAAUAGUAACAUAUGAAAUGUUAUCCCUGCUUAAAUCUUAGUCGCUACAUGCUAGUAGGAGUAGGACGUGUUAUAGUUUUAUGUAUGUAACUCGGUUUGCUUGGACACAAUUAUCAUGUUACUAUGGACUGCUGUUCAACAAGUUUCAUGAGUUGCCACUACCGCACUUCUCUAGUUGCAUUGAUGGUGUUUAACAGUACUUGCCCUUGUAUCCUUUAUUCGAUCUCAGAUUUCAUCAUAAAUCAUAAUGGACUACUCUUCUGUUGAAUGUUGAUUGGCGCACUACUUGUUCUGCUGUAGCCAUUUAGAGGAAUAAGAGGAGAUAUGAAUUUUACCAUUGAUGUUUCAUGCAGGUUGGGUUACCCAAUGUUGGCAAAUCAACUUUCUUCAACAUAGUAACAAAGUUGUCCAUCCCGGCUGAGAACUUCCCAUUCUGUACCAUUGAACCAAAUGAGGCACGGGUACAUGUUCCGGAUGAGCGAUUUGACUAUCUUUGCCAACUUUUCAAGCCAAAGAGUGAGGUUUGUUUCUUUUCUCUGCUUUACACUUCUACAGUAAUCUGCAGCUUCUUGGCUUAUGUUUCAGAUGUAUAGUGACUCUUGUUAUUCUCUGCAGGUGGCUGCAUAUCUGGAAAUCAACGACAUAGCCGGGCUUGUUAGAGGAGCAAGUGCAGGGGAGGGUCUGGGCAAUGCCUUCUUAUCCCAUAUACGUGCUGUUGAUGGAAUCUUUCAUGUCUUGAGUAUGUCUCUAUUGUAAAAUGUUUAUAAUUCAACUAUUGUAUUAUGUUUCUUAAUAAAGUUCCCUUGGUUAUGUUUUGACUAUAUGUUAAAAGUGAUAAAUUUUGGAUGUCUUGGUGGAGACCUAAAUGAGAAGACUAGCCAAAUGUUGGCAUUGCCAAACAUUGGCAAUACCAAGACUUGCCAAAUAUUGGCAACUUUAUGUUUCAUAGACAAGAAAACUUGGUAACCCACCAAUUAGUGGCCAAUAUGCCAAUUUUUGGCACCAAACCAAUUACGCGCUAGGUGUUCAUGUAAUAGAAUCUUUUGCUGUAUCUGUAACUGAUAGUAUGGUAUGAUUUUUAGGAGCAUUUGAAGACACGGAAAUCACCCAUAUUGAUGAUACAGUUGAUCCUGUUCGUGAUUUGGAAACUAUUACUCAAGAACUGAGGCUCAAGGUUUCGUUUGAGUUCUGCUUGAUUUGUUUGUCAACUUAACCAGUUGUUAACCUAGUUGUAACAAGGUUCUGUUGCAUUUCUGUAGGAUAUAGAGUUUGUGCAGGCUAAAAUUGAUGACCUUGAGAAGGCAAUGAAGAGGAGCAAUGACAAGCAACUUAAGAUAGACCAUGAAUUAUGUCAGAGGGUAGGGCAUGUUUCACAGCUCUGCAGUUUUGCAGUUUUGCUUCAUUUCUAUCAAUCAGUUAGAUCUCAUGAACUAUUGAAAUUUAGUUUCAACUUUUGUUGGUAGAUUAAAUGAUCAAUCGGUAAUUUAGUUUCAACUUUCCCUUAUAACAGAUCAUGACACAUCUUCAAGACGGGAAAGACCUACGUUUAGGAGAAUGGAAAGCUGCUGAAAUUGAGAUCUUGAAUACCUUUCAGCUGCUUACUGCUAAGCCAGUUGUUUAUUUGGUAAUUUUUACUUAUUUGGAUUGGAAGAAUGGUCUCAUUUGAUUAAUAUGUACAGGCUUGUUGUUUGAACUUUAUAUUAGCACAAUGACAUCAUUUGAUUAAUUAUAGUUACAUGCUUGUUGCUUGAACUUCUUUACCAGCAUUUCCAUCUAUAAUUUAGUGGCAUCCCAUAUUUAGUCCGGAAUUUCAAUCAAUGUUACAUUAACCCAGCUUUGUUUUCCCCUCUGUUUUGUUGUUGCUGUCUGUCUACUUCUGCUUUCCAACAUUUAUUUUGAGCCAUUACAGAACUGACGGGCGACUGGUAAUCGAUACGCCAUACUCUCGGCAUUUGUAUGAUUAGCAAUAAGUGCAUGCUCUGUAGACAAUUAACUGAGUUUUAUCUGAUCACAGGAAACAUAACUAGAAAAAACUAUUGCAUGCUUCUUGCUAUAGCAGUAGAAUAGGGGAACCUUUUUAGUUCCAUAUGCCAGUUUUAUUCCACUCCACUGUAAGGCACUGCAAGUCUGUAAUAGUUGAAGCAAUUGUUAAAGUUGCACUUCCAUGCGUGAGCAAGAACCAAAGCAAAGUAUGCAAGAAGUGUCAUUAGAGUUUAAGUGAACUAGUGAAGUAAGGAAAUCCCAAGAUAUAUGAUGUUUCCAUAUGGAUUCUUACUUUUUUUUGGACCCAAAAGGCACAUCAGGGUCCCUAAUAGGAAUAUAGGGAUGGUGUGCUGUAGAAGGGUUUAUGAAGAUUAGAUAUUACUUUUCACUUUCAUAUGAUUAUUGCUCACCUGUUGGAGAGGGAAAUGAAAUGGGAAGCAUAAAUUCUCUACUUGAAAAACCUACUGAUGUACUCGUUAUAUGAUGGUACAUAUAACUAAUAGCUGCUGCGCAUACAUCAGUUGAAAUUAUAUUUAUAUUAGCAGCAAGAGAAAAUAUCUCUUUGAUAUCUGGAAUUAUCCCACGUUCAGCUUGAGUAAUCAUGCCAAAUGGACAUUAAUCGCUCUGCUAUAACUGUAGCUCAUUUACUGGGUUAAUCCUUAGAUUUGACCUUACUUUUAUCAGUAGUUGAAACAGAAAAGCACCUUCUCUUUUAUAUGGCUUCUAAAAGGCCUAACCAUCCUUUUUGAAAGUAAAAUGUAGCUGUAUUGAUUAGUCUAGUAUGUUACUUUGUGCAGGUGAACAUGAGUGAAAAGGAUUACCUGAGAAAAAAGAACAAGUUUCUACCAAAGAUACAUGCUUGGUACGUACUAUUUCUACCCCAAGUCUAAUGGCUAUUGCAGAAUUACAGAUAAACUCAUGCUAUACGACAUGCAUUUCAAACUGCGAAUGCUAAUUUUCUGUGGAACUUCUGUUCAUGUACAGCCUAAUUGCUGUAGCAGGAUAGAUCAUUUUGAAGCUAAAUCAUUUCAAGUUUCCAUCAUUAUAUCUGGUUGUAUAUGAUAUUUGUUCCAACUUGCUUGUUGAGUAGAGCAGCUGUCUGGUUUAAAACACAUUGGGUUUAUUAUUGGAAAAAUGUUAUCACAGAGAGAACCAGUGUUUAUGCUUGGACUUGUUGAUUACUGUAUUUGAGGGUAGAAUCUCACAAAAUUUAUGGAUCUCUUACAUAUGAAUACCAGCAAUUGUCAUAGGCAGUGGGCCAGGUCCCAGUGGUAUGUGUCCGCACUCAGCACUAAGGAGCACUAUUCAUGUGGACAGUACCCACAUGGUAUCUGUCAGCACUAAGCAGGAAUUACUAUUCACGUGAACUGUACCCACUUGAACAAGAUAAGUGCAGUAGGUCUAGUUACAAAGUAGUAUAUCUGUUCAGUUAGGAAAAGAGAUCAGUUUAGUUAGGAAGGUAAACAUAUUUGAUCUUUACCGAACUUCUUUUAGUUAGGUAGGUAUAUAUAUCUGCUAUAUAUAUUAGACAUGGUAUCUGCCAGCACUAUUCAUGUGAGUUAUCAAUUAAGCAUUGAACGAGAAGUUCAGUAAAGAUCUAAUCACCAUCCUCAACCUUCUCACUCUCACCCCUGGUAGUCACCGUCUCAGUCCUAGAACCGACCCACCAUGAUGAUACUGAGAAAAACCCAUGAGACAAAAGAAGGCCUGAUGGUUGUAGGCUCUUGUCCACAGUAAGAAAUUGAUUAUAUGAAGUUCAUGUGGUUGUGAUUUUGAUUAAAUCUGAUUAUGUUGUGUUUGAUUAAAUGAUUAGCAUAAACCUAAUAUGCAUAAUUUCCUAUGAGAAGGGGCUAUUGCCUAUUGGAAUAUUAGCUAAUAUCUAACUAUUUCUUAUUCAGGGUGAAAGAGCAUGGUGGUGAAACUAUUAUUCCUUUCAGCUGUGCCUUCGAACAGAAACUAGUGGAUAUGCCAG